rnacentral:rRNA from 1 species
GACGAACGCUGGCGGCGUGCUUAACACAUGCAAGUCGAACGCGCCUGUCCUCUGGGUUUCUGGGGGGUGGGUGAGUGGCGAACGGGUGAGUAACACGUGAGUAACCUGCCCCCUUCUUCGGGAUAACGGUCUGAAAGGGCUGCUAAUACCGGGUAUUCACUGGUCUCCGCAUGGGGUCUGGUGGAAAGGUUUUUUUCUGGUGGGGGAUGGGCUCGCGGCCUAUCAGCUUGUUGGUGGGGUGAUGGCCCACCAAGGCUUUGACGGGUAGCCGGCCUGAGAGGGUGACCGGUCACAUUGGGACUGAGAUACGGCCCAGACUCGUACGGGAGGCAGCAGUGGGGAAUAUUGCACAAUGGGCGAAAGCCUGAUGCAGCGACGCCGCGUGAGGGAUGGAGGCCUUCGGGUUGUGAACCUCUUUCGCCCGUGGUCAAGCCGCGACGUGGGUCGUGGUGAGGGUAGUGGGUAAAGAAGCGCCGGCUAACUACGUG